rnacentral:rRNA from 1 species
AACGAACGCUGGCGGCAGGCCUAACACAUGCAAGUCGAGCGCGCCCUUCGGGGUGAGCGGCGGACGGGUGAGUAACGCGUGGGAACGUGCCCUUUUCUACGGAAUAGCCUCGGGAAACUGAGAGUAAUACCGUAUACGCCCUUUGGGGGAAAGAUUUAUCGGAAAAGGAUCGGCCCGCGUUGGAUUAGGUAGUUGGUGGGGUAAUGGCCUACCAAGCCGACGAUCCAUAGCUGGUUUGAGAGGAUGAUCAGCCACACUGGGACUGAGACACGGCCCAGACUCCUACGGGAGGCAGCAGUGGGGAAUCUUAGACAAUGGGGGCAACCCUGAUCUAGCCAUGCCGCGUGAGUGAUGAAGGCCUUAGGGUUGUAAAGCUCUUUCAGCUGGGAAGAUAAUGACGGUACCAGCAGAAGAAGCCCCGGCUAACUCUGUG